rnacentral:pre_miRNA from 1 species
AAUUUACUCCCUCCGUUCCGAAUUACUUGUCGCAAGUAUGGAUGUAUCUAGAUGUAUUUUAGUUUUAGAUUCAUCCAUUUCUGAGACAAGUAAUUUGGAACGGAGGGAGUACUUG